rnacentral:lncRNA from 12 species
UGGAACUGGGAAAGUCUCCUCGGAGGACGCAGAUCUCACCGGCCCACCUUCUUGCUCUGCUGAGAAAGAAGGUGUCUGCAAGAGGCAAAGAAAAGGACGAGCAUCUUCCUUCGCUCAGCAGACCACGGCGUGAGUUGCUUUGUUUCCUCACCUGGCACUGGGUCACGUGCAAGUGGGUCAGCCUCGAUGUCCCUCCCCGCCACACCUGCCACCUGCCCUGAAGAAGCAGCAGAUCUUUGCCUGGCCUCCCCAUCUGCAGGAUGACAAGGUCCUGCGGGUGAACGUGCCAGCCCCGGCAGCGCCCCCCGCCCCCACUCACGGAACCUGGAGCAUUCUGGACUGGCCGAGGAACAAGCGCUUUCUUUUUAUGAGCCUGCAAACCUCCAGCCUCCCGGCCUCCCGCCCUCCCAGCUGGCCUGGCGCCAGGGGCCCACAUCACCACCCAGACCCAUGGCCCAGGCUGUUCCCGAUUCCGGAGCGUCUGAGUCACUGCGCCUCGGCCGCCUCGUGA